rnacentral:rRNA from 1 species
AUUGAACGCUGGCGGCAGGCCUAACACAUGCAAGUCGAACGGUAACAGAAAGCAGCUUGCUGCUUUGCUGACGAGUGGCGGACGGGUGAGUAAUGUCUGGGAAACUGCCUGAUGGAGGGGGAUAACUACUGGAAACGGUAGCUAAUACCGCAUAACGUCGCAAGACCAAAGAGGGGGACCUUCGGGCCUCUUGCCAUCGGAUGUGCCCAGAUGGGAUUAGCUUGUUGGUGGGGUAACGGCUCACCAAGGCGACGAUCCCUAGCUGGUCUGAGAGGAUGACCAGCCACACUGGAACUGAGACACGGUCCAGACUCCUACGGGAGGCAGCAGUGGGGAAAAUUGCACAAUGGGCGCAAGCCUGAUGCAGCCAUGCCGCGUGUAUGAAGAAGGCCUUCGGGUUGUAAAGUACUUUCAGCGGGGAGGAAGGGAGUAAAGUUAAUACCUUUGCUCAUUGACGUUACCCGCAGAAGAAGCACCGGCUAACUCCGUGCCAGCCGCCGCCGUAAAAC